GAGUUUGAUCCUGGCUCAGAACGUACGCUGGCGGCACGCCUAACACAUGCAAGUCGAACGCAGUAGCAAUACUGAGUGGCAAACGGGUGAGUAUAAUGUGGGAAUCUGCCUUUUGGUUUGGAAUAACACGGGGAAACUUGUGCUAAUACCGAAUAAGCCCUUACGGGGAAAGUUUUAACGCCGAAAGAUGAGCCCGCACUUGAUUAGCUAGUUGGUAAGGUAAAAGCUUACCAAGGCAACGAUCAAUAGCUGUUCUUAGAGGAAGACCAGCCACAUUGGGACUGAGACACGGCCCAGACUCCUACGGGAGGCAGCAGUGGGGAAUCUUGCACAAUGGGGGAAACCCUGAUGCAGCGAUGCCGCGUGAGUGAAGAAGGCCUUUGGGUUGUAAAACUCUUUCGUCGGGGAAGAAAAUGACUGUACCCGAAUAAGAAGGUCCGGCUAACUUCGUGCCAGCAGCCGCGGUAAUACGAAGGGACCUAGCGUAGUUCGGAAUUACUGGGCUUAAAGAGCUCGUAAGUGGUUAAAAAAGUUGAUGGUGAAAUCCCAA
rnacentral:rRNA from 1 species